AAUCAUCUGGAAAGAUGAAUCAAAGAAGGUAAUAAUCCUGUAGUCGAAAACAUAUUCUCUCUUGAGUGGAUCCUGAGUACGACGGAGCACGUGAAAUUCCGUCGGAAUCUAGGAGGACCAUCUCCUAAGGCUAAAUACUCUCUAGUGACCGAUAGUGAACCAGUACCGUGAGGGAAAGGUGAAAAGUACCCCGGAAGGGGAGUGAAAGAGAACUUGAAACCGUGUGCUUACAAGUAGUCAGAGCCCGUUUAUGGGUGAUGGCGUGCCUUUUGUAGAAUGAACCGGCGAGUUACGAUCUGAUGCAAGGUUAAGCAGCGAAUGUGGAGCCGUAGCGAAAGCGAGUCUGAAUAGGGCGUUGAGUAUUUGGUCGUAGACCCGAAACCAGGUGAUCUACCCUUGGUCAGGUUGAAGUUCAGGUAACACUGAAUGGAGGACCGAACCGACUUACGUUGAAAAGUGAGCGGAUGAACUG
rnacentral:rRNA from 1 species